GAUGAACGCUGGCGGUAUGCCUAACACAUGCAAGUCGUACGAGAGUUUUUAACUCUAGUGGCGGACGGGUGAGUAACACGUGAGAAUUUGCCUUUAGGAGGGGGACAACAAUCGGAAACGAAUGCUAAUACCCCAUAUGCUUUCGAGUGAAAUGGAUUUUAUCCGCCUAGAGAGAAGCUCGCGGCUGAUUAGCUUGUUGGUAAGGUAAGAGCUUACCAAGGCGACGAUCAGUAUCUGGUUUGAGAGGACGAUCAGACACACUGGAACUGAGACACGGCCCAGACUCCUACGGGAGGCAGCAGUGGGGAAUAUUGGACAAUGGGCGAAAGCCUGAUCCAGCAAUGCCGCGUGAGUGAUGAAGGCCUUAGGGUUGUAAAGCUCUUUUACCCGAGAUGAUAAUGACAGUAUCGGGAGAAUAAGCUCCGGCUAACUCCGUG
rnacentral:rRNA from 1 species